UACGUAGGGGGCGAGCGUUGUCCGGAUUUAUUGGGCGUAAAGAGCGUGUAGGCGGCCAGGUAGGUCUGCUGUGAAAACUCGAGGCUCAACCUCGAGACGUCGGCGGAAACCAUCUGGCUAGAGUCCGGAAGAGGAGAGUGGAAUUCCUGGUGUAGCGGUGAAAUGCGCAGAUAUCAGGAAGAACACCCGUGGUGAAGGCGGCUCUCUGGGACGGUACUGACGCUGAGACGCGAAAGCGUGGGGAGCGAACAGG
rnacentral:rRNA from 1 species